rnacentral:lncRNA from 1 species
AAUAUGAAAUUGAUUUUUUUAAUGAGAAAAAAAAACAGAAAAAUUAAAAAUUAACUUAACACAAAAAAACUACAAGAGUGAUUUUAUUGAAGAUAAAACAUAAAAAUUAAAAAACGCAGUCCCCAGCAGGAUUUGAACACACGCUAUUUCAGUAUAUAAAUGGCAUAUGGCAGCUGGGACAAUAGCAAUACUAUGAUACAGAAUCGCAUCAACUUAUAUAUGUCUUAUAGACCGAUAAAUUUAUAUAUAUAGGGGUCCCCUACUAAUUUUCAUUUUUUUGGGGUGGGCCAUGGCCCAUCUUGGCCACCCCUGGCUCCGCU